UGGGGAAUAUUGCACAAUGGGCGAAAGCCUGAUGCAGCGACGCCGCGUGAGGGAUGACGGCCUUCGGGUUGUAAACCUCUUUCAGCAGGGAAGAAGCGAAAGUGACGGUACCUGCAGAAGAAGCGCCGGCUAACUACGUGCCAGCAGCCGCGGUAAUACGUAGGGCGCAAGCGUUGUCCGGAAUUAUUGGGCGUAAAGAGCUCGUAGGCGGUUAGUCGCGUCUGCUGUGAAAACUCGAGGCUCAACCUCGGGCUUGCAGUGGGUACGGGCUGACUAGAGUGCGGUAGGGGUGACUGGAAUUCCUGGUGUAGCGGUGGAAUGCGCAGAUAUCAGGAGGAACACCGAUGGCGAAGGCAGGUCACUGGGCCGCAACUGACGCUGAGGAGCGAAAGCAUGGGGAGCGAACAGGAUUAGAUACCCUGGUAGUCCAUGCCGUAAAACGUUGGGCACUAGGUGUGGGGUCCAUUCCACGGAUUCCGUGCCGCAGCAAACGCAUUAAGUGCCCCGCCUGGGGAGUACGGCCGCAAGGCUAAAACUCAAAUGAAUUGACGGGGUCAUAGCUGUUUCC
rnacentral:rRNA from 1 species